rnacentral:tRNA from 1 species
CAGCAAUUAGUUCAGUUUGGUAGAACGCCUGACUUGGAAUCAGGAGGUCGCAGGUUCGAAUCCUGUAUUGUUGACCA